rnacentral:rRNA from 1 species
UACGUAGGGUGCAAGCGUUGUCCGGAAUUAUUGGGCGUAAAGAGCUCGUAGGCGGUUUGUUGCGUCGGCUGUGAAAUCCCGAGGCUCAACCUGGGAACUGCACUCGAAACUGCGUUUCUUGAGUAUCGGAGAGGAAAGCGGAAUUCCUGGUGUAGAGGUGAAAUUCGUAGAUAUCAGGAGGAACACCAGUGGCGAAGGCGGCUUUCUGGACGGUAACUGACGCUGAGGCGCGAAAGCGUGGGGAGCAAACAGG